AUUGAACGCUGGCGGCAGGCCUAACACAUGCAAGUCGAACGAGUGGCGGACGGGUGAGUAAUGUCUGGGAAACUGCCCGAUGGAGGGGGAUAACUACUGGAAACGGUAGCUAAUACCGCAUACAAUCGGAUGUGCCCAGAUGGGAUUAGCUUGUAGGUGAGUUAACGGCUCACUUAGGCGACGAUCCCUAGCUGGUAUGAGAGGAGGACCAGCCACAUGGGAACUGAGACACGGUCCAGACUCCUACGGGAGGCAGCAGUGGGAAAUAUUGCACAAUGGGCGCAAUCCUUAUGCAGCCAUGCCGCGUGGAUGAGGAAGGCCUUCGGGUUGUAAAGUACGUUCAGCGGGGAGUCGUUACCCGCAGAAGAAGCACCGGCUAACUCCGUGCCAGCAGCCGCGGUAAUUC
rnacentral:rRNA from 1 species